rnacentral:rRNA from 1 species
GCCCAGACUCCUACGGGAGGCAGCAGUGGGGAAUUUUCCGCAAUGGGCGAAAGCCUGACGGAGCAACGCCGCGUGAGGGACGAAGGCCUCUGGGCUGUAAACCUCUUUUCUCAAGGAAGAAGAUAUGACGGUACUUGAGGAAUAAGCCACGGCUAAUUCCGUGCCAGCAGCCGCGGUAAUACGGGAGUGGCAAGCGUUAUCCGGAAUUAUUGGGCGUAAAGCGUCCGCAGGCGGCUUUUCAAGUCUGCUGUUAAAGCGUGGAGCUUAACUCCAUCAUGGCAGUGGAAACUGAAAGGCUUGAGUAUGGUAGGGGCAGAGGGAAUUCCCGGUGUAGCGGUGAAAUGCGUAGAUAUCGGGAAGAACACCAGUGGCGAAGGCGCUCUGCUGGGCCAUUACUGACGCUCAUGGACGAAAGCCAGGGGAGCGAAAGGGAUUAGAUACCCCUGUAGUCCUGGCCGUAAACGAUGAACACUAGGUGUCGGGGGAAUCGACCCCUUCGGUGUCGUAGCUAACGCGUUAAGUGUUCCGCCUGGGGAGUACGCACGCAAGUGUGAAACUCAAAGGAAUUGACGGGGGCCCGCACAAGCGGUGGAGUAUGUGGUUUAAUUCGAUGCAACGCGAAGAACCUUACCAGGGUUUGACAUCCUGCGAACCUCUUAGAAAUUUGAGGGUGCCUUCGGGAAUGCAGUGACAGGUGGUGCAUGGCUGUCGUCAGCUCGUGUCGUGAGAUGUUGGGUUAAGUCCCGCAACGAGCGCAACCCACGUUUUUAGUUGCCAGCAUUUAGUUGGGCACUCUAGAAAGACCGCCGGUGAUAAACCGGAGGAAGGUGUGGAUGACGUCAAGUCAUCAUGCCCCUUACACCCUGGGCUACACACGUACUAC